UACGUAGGGUGCAAGCGUUAAUCGGAAUUACUGGGCGUAAAGCGUGCGCAGGCGGUUGUGCAAGACAGAUGUGAAAUCCCCGGGCUUAACCUGGGAACUGCAUUUGUGACUGCACGGCUAGAGUGUGUCAGAGGGGGGUAGAAUUCCACGUGUAGCAGUGAAAUGCGUAGAUAUGUGGAGGAAUACCGAUGGCGAAGGCAGGUCUCUGGGCCACUACUGACGCUGAGAAGCGAAAGCAUGGGGAGCGAACAGG
rnacentral:rRNA from 1 species